rnacentral:tRNA from 1 species
GGGGUUGUGGCUCAGUGGUAGAGCAUGUGCCUUGCAUGUGUGAGGCACUGGGUUCGAUCCUCAGCACCUCA